GUUGCCCUCUUUCUCUCUGUUUUCUCUGAACUAUCCCUAACCCUAGCUGUCGUCACCGGAAACUCUCCGUUCCUUAGGUUUUCCCUGUGAUUUCAGGCCCCAUGCGGCCUCUAAUCUUCACUAGUUGUUCGACUUCCACGACAAUUUGAUGGAAUCUCAAAAGGAUUUGAACAACCUUUCUUCAAAUCCUUCAUUUUCUCGGUGAAUUCGCCUGUGUUCAUCUCUGUGUUUGUGAGUAAUGUUAUCUUUUAUGUUUAUGGCUUCAAAUCUCUAGUUCAAAUGAGAUUUUCUCACCUUUGUCUAUUUUAAAAAAAAACCCUAGUUACUUUCUACUUGAGUCCAUUCAGAUUUUUAUAGAUCUGAAGGGAUUUUUAGUUUAUUUGAUGUUAUUUUUCUAUUUUUACCAUCAUUAUUGGCCGGUUUUUACUUUCCUAAAAGCUAGGGUUUCAUCUUUAAAUUUUUUGUAAAAGUUCUAAAAAUAUUUAAGCAUUUAACUCCGGUUCUCUUUACUUGUUCGACUGGUUUUUCAUAUCUAUAUUUUAAUACCUAAGGCUUCUAUCUAUUCUACUGUUUGUUUUGAUAUUUGCCUGUUAUUCUUUAGCUACGACAAUUAAAAUGGAUUAAUUGAUUUUUAUUCGCCUAAUUAAGGUUUAGAAUUCCAUUUUCUUUUAAAAUCGAUAUCUCUUUGAUGAUAUUACUUAUUCCUUCCUUAUUUGUGACUCAUGAUUGAAACUACUUUCGUUAAUUAUAUUUCUAGCAUGUUUCCAGAUUCUGAUAUUUUUAACAGACCUAUAUACGGUCUUUAGACUUAUUGCUCACUUUAUUUUACUUUAAUCCUUUCUGUUGACUGAUUUCGUAUAAGAUUAUCCCUAAUUUAAGUGAUAUUUUUGGGAUUCUGUCUUAUGAAAUGGUUGUGUUUAGACUUAACCGAUGGUUAAUUGAUUUGCAUACUUUAUUUAUAUAUGGUUAAUUUUUCUUUCCUUAUUUGUUUACUCUGAUGAAUGCUAUAUAAACCUUCCACCAUUCUCAGGCACUUGCACGUACACAUUCAAAAAGUUGCACCUACACACAUAAACUCUUACUCACACACACUCUUCAUUGUGAUCUUUUUUGUUGCUUGUGCUUGCUGCACAGUCUACCCAGCUGAAAGCCAAGGCUAUACUAUUGCACUUUACUUGUUCUCAUCCUCCUGCUUACUAUCUUUUAACUGGUGUGUCUCCACUUCUUCCAUCGCUCAACAUGUUAUGCUAUUAGACAUAUGUGCGUCAUGCUUAUUAAUCUUAUUCAACGUGUUUACUUCUAUGUAAUUAGAGCUAUGUGCUUCAUGUUCAUUACUCUUAAUCAGCAUGCCUACAUCCAUGAAAUUAGACCAAUGCGUUUCUCGUUUUCAGCAUGUCUGCCUCUAUGUAAUUACAGCUAUGUCUAUUUGUUUCUCAACGAGCAUGAUUCUUGUCCUGCUUUAAGUGUACAUCCAUAACAAACUCCUGAUUAAUUCAUGGUCUCUUUGCCCUCAACUUUGUUACCUUUCUGUGUGAUUGUCUGAUCCCAGCAUGUUGUUUUGUGAUGAAUAUUUUCUUGUAUGUUCACCUUAUAAUAGCUAAUGAAUUAAGGCCAUUAAAACCUUGUUAUUACUUUACCCUGUCUGUUUGAUUGUUAGAUUUCAGGGCUGAACUCUUUCUGCUAAAUGUGUGUUGCUUGUGGUUCUUAUAAUCUGGUAAUUUUCUUCUAUGCACUUCUGAAAUCCAAACUAUUUUUCUAAAACAAAUAUUGUCUUCUAUAUUCAUACAUUAUUUUCAACUCUCACUCUUAGUUAACUAGGAUCCUUUCACCUCCAAUGUGAGGACUUCUUAGGGUCCAUGAGACUCUUCUAAAUUCUAACACAUUUGGGCUGGUUUCCAAUCCUUUAUGAACUGCUUAUGAACAUUUGUUCUCUAAGUGUGAGCACUGCCCUGGGUUCUUGAAAACCUUGGAAACUCAAACACACUAUAGAUCUGGGUUCUUGCUUUGCAAAUGGUUACUGUAUAUCUCUGAGCUUUGGAGCUGUUAUAGUUUGAAGGCCUGAUAUAUCCGGAUGCAUUGGGCAUGCUGCAGGAUUCCUAUAGUUCCAUACUUUGUUAUUUAUUCAUUUGUUAUGGUCUGUAUUAAUUAUUUGAAAUAACUAUGGGCAACAAUGAAUUAGGAAAAUUGGGCUUAGUUUAAUGUUUGGAUGAAAAUGGGGUAGAAAACCUACUUUAGAUGUCCACUUCUUUCAAAUAUUUUCACUACUAUAUGCUAGAUAUCCCACCUAUAGGUUAUUUAUAUUCUGUUACUAUGUAUAGUAAAAUAGCAUGCCUAAAGGACCAAAGUAAUUCUGAAUAUCCUUUCUAGAUUCACUCUACUGCAUUUAGAUACCAUUCCUAUAAGGCUAUCAAAUUAAUUUUCUGCAUUUAGAUACAUGCCUGCAAAGUUUCCAAAUUAGUUAUGCAUUUUCAAAACCAUGCCUAUAGAGUUAUAAAUUACUUAUGCACUUAGAUAUCAUGUCAAUAGGAAUUUCAGGAUCACUUCUGCAUUUAGAUACCAUGUCAAUAGGAAUUUCCAAAAUCACUUCUGCAUUUAGAUACCAUGCCUAUACGGUCUUAAGAUCAGUUCUUCU
rnacentral:lncRNA from 1 species